rnacentral:sRNA from 1 species
UGGAGUGUUAAUUCCGCGGAGUAGUAUAAAUACUAAAUUUACAUACCAUUUUCAAAAAUUUAUUAUAAAGGAUUUUUCAAGCUUUGAGAAUCAUUAUUUUAUAAUACAUACUAGAAUACAAUACAGUAUAACUAUUUUGAAUUUAAAGAACCAGAUGUUCAAAUUAUGAAGUAAGUGACUGCUUUUAUUUUAUUCUAAUUUUUUAAAUUUGAGUAAUUUGGUAGUAUGUAUUGAUCUUUUCCUCUCAUUUUAUAUUUACUGAGGCAUUUUCUCAUAUUUUUGAGAUGUGUAUUUCAUUCUAUCAGAAAAGUUCCGAAAGCAUUACACUUGUGUUAUAGCAGUUUGUAGCUGUAAUAUAAAAUUAAAUCUCACUUUUUGUCUGCUUAUUAUCAGCUUUAUUAAAAUAAAACUAAAUGU